GAAAAGAGUUCUGGGAAACCAUGUGAAUGGAUACAACCAGUUAGCUACGAUUGCUUGCUGUAGCUUUUCCUAAAUUCAACAAUAUCUAAUUUUCAGUACUGUUAUAUCUAAAUGUCAAACCAAGGCAUACAUAUUCAGAGAAAGAAGAUAAGUUUAGUUUGGUUUGUACUGCAGGCUCACAUAUCCGUUCAUUGGUUUGUACUGCAGACGGUCAGAACCACAAACUAAUCGAGGAAGAAGAUAAGGGACUUGUUAACUGGUUUUUUUCUUUUUUGUUGAGAAUUUGUUAGCUGAUGGCUUGAUGUGCUGCGGGCGUCCGAAAUACGAGCGGUCCAGUGGCGGGCCGCGAACAAUCUCCCCGGCUGCAAUGGGCAGUGGGGGAAGGCAGCGGGGUGCCUCAAAAAAAAAAGGGCGGCACGCCGGUGAUCGGAGUCUGACAUCGACGUCGCCUCUUCCGGCCGCCAUUUUCCUCUCUGAUUAGAUUGCCCCCGGCUCGGAUUCUGCGGAGAGCCUCGACCGCAACCCAACAUCGAUUAUUUCACCCGACGGGACCACAAGUAUCAGGAAUUCAGCCCGGAGCUAUACACGCAAGCUAUUGAUCUACAACAUAGAUAUGCAAAAUAUUAUCAGGUACUAAAUUUAUAAUAAAUUAAAGUUCAAUUAAUCA